rnacentral:lncRNA from 1 species
AUGUCACGACGAGGAGUUAAAGCAAGACGCGUGAGCGAAUCGACUCAUCAAGUUCCCAUUGAAAUAGUAUCGACACAAGGAAAAGCACUUGUCAUUUGUUGGUUAUUAGCGGCAUCCCGAAAACGUCCGAGUCGAAAUAUGGCUUUCAAAUUAAGUUCUGAAUUAGUGGAUGCUGCCAAAAGGAGUGGUGAUGCCAUAAGCAAAACGGAAGAGACUCAUAGAAUGGCGGAGGCAAAUAGAAUUCUUGCACAUUUUCGUUAA